GCCUGGGUGGCUCAGUCAGUUGAGCGUCUGACUUCAGCUCAGAUCAUGAUCUCAUGGUUCGUGGGUUCGAGCCCCGCGUCCGGCU
rnacentral:tRNA from 1 species